rnacentral:rRNA from 1 species
CCUACGGGGGGCUGCAGUGGGGAAUAUUGGACAAUGGGGGGAACCCUGAUCCAGCCAUGCCGCGUGUGUGAAGAAGGCCCUCGGGUUGUAAAGCACUUUCAGUGAGGAAGAACGCCUGGUGGUUAAUACCCAUCAGGAAAGACAUCACUCACAGAAGAAGCACCGGCUAACUCCGUGCCAGCAGCCGCGGUAAUACGGAGGGUGCGAGCGUUAAUCGGAAUUACUGGGCGUAAAGCGCGCGUAGGUGGCUUGAUAAGCCGGUUAUGAAAGCCCCGGGCUCAACCUGGGAACGGCAUCCGGAACUGUCAAGCUAGAGUGCAGGAGAGGAAGGUAGAAUUCCCGGUGUAGCGGUGAAAUGCGUAGAGAUCGGGAGGAAUACCAGUGGCGAAGGCGGCCUUCUGGACUGACACUGACACUGAGGUGCGAAAGCGUGGGUAGCAAACAGGAUUAGAUACCCUUGUAGUC